GGUUCGAUCCUGGCCUAGAUUGAACGCUGGCGGAUAGCCGUACAUUACGCAGCCGAACGGCGGCACGGACUGUCAUCUGGUGGCGAGUGGCGAACGGGUGAGUAAUGCAUCGAACCAGCUCAGUGUAGCGGAUAACUACGCGAAAGCGAAGUAAUACGCAUACGCCCUUCGGGGGAAAGCGGGGACCUUCUGGCCUCGCACUAUUAGAGCGACCUGGAUAUCGGAUUAGCUAGUUGGUGGGUAACGGCUCACCAAGGCGACGAUCCGUAGCUGGUUUGAGAGGACGACUCCAGCCACACUGUGGGGAUCGAGAUACGCCCAGACUCUACGGGAGGCAGCAGUGGGGAAUUUUCUUGGGAUACGAAAAACCCUUGAUCCAGCCAUCCGCGUGUGCGAUGAAGGCCUUCGGUUGUAAAGCACUUUUGGCAGAAAGAAAACGGCAUCGGAUAACACCGUGCAACUGAUUUGGGUACCCGCAGAAUAAGCACCGGCUAACUGCCGUGCCGCGCUGCGUAAUACGUAGGGUGCAAGCGUUAAUCGAAAUUAUCAUGCAAAGCGUGCGUAUGGUUCGAAGAUGAAAUCCAGAACUUAACUUUGGAACUGCAUUUUUAACUACCGAGCUAGAGUGUGUCAGAGGGAGGUGGAAUUCCGCGUGGUAGCGCAGAAUGUGGUAGACAGGCAGAGAACACUGAUGCAGAAGGCAGCCUCUGGGAUAACACUGACGCUCAUGCAGCACGAAAGUGGGAGCAAACAGGAUUAGAUACCCUGGUAGUCCACGCCCCAAACGAUGUCAACUAGCUUUCGUUGGGGCCUUCGGGCUCGGUAGCGCAGCUUAACGCGUAGUUGACCGCCUGGGGAGUACGGUCGCAAGAUUAAAAACUCAAAGGAAUCUGACGGGGACCCGCACAAGCGGUGGAUGAUGUGGAUUAAUUCGAUGCAACGCGAAAACCUUACCUACCCUGACAUGUCUGAAUCCCGAAGAGAUUUGGGAGUGCUCGCAAGAGAACCGGAACACAGGUGCUGCAUGGCUGUCGUCAGCUCGUGUCGUGAGAUGCGUUGGGUUAAGUCCCGCAACGAGCGCAACCCUGUCAUUAGUUGCUACGAGUAAGACUUAUCGAGACUGCCGGUGACAACCGGAGGAAGGUGGGGAUGACGUCAAGUCCUCAUGGCCCUUGCGGCAGGGCUUCACACGUCAUACAAUGGUCGGGACAGAGGUCGCCGUCCCUGCGAGUGGGAGCAAUCCCAGAAACCUGAUCAGAAGGCCGAUUGCAGUCUGCAACUCGACUGCGAAGUCGACCAUGGCACCGCGUGAUCAGCGCAUGUCGCGGUGAAUACGUUCCGGUCUUGUACACACCGCCUGUCACACCAUGGGAGUGGGUUUUACCAGAAGUAGUUAGCCUAACCGUAAGGAGGGCGAUUACUACGGUAGGAUUCAUGACUGGGGUGAAGUCGCAACAAGUAA
rnacentral:rRNA from 1 species